rnacentral:rRNA from 1 species
AACGAACGCUGGCGGCGUGCCUAACACAUGCAAGUCGUGCGGGAAAGUGGGGGCAACUCCACGAGUAGAGCGGCGCACGGGUGAGUAACACGUAGGUAACCUGCCUCCGAGACUGGGAUAACUUGUCGAAAGACGGGCUAAUACCGGAUAAGACCACGCGGACUGCGGUUCGCGGGGUAAAAAGUGGCCUCUGCUUGCAAGCUACUACUUGGAGAUGGGCCUGCGCGCCAUUAGCUAGUUGGUGAGGUAACGGCUCACCAAGGCAAGGAUGGCUAGCUGGUCUGAGAGGAUGGCCAGCCACACUGGGACUGAGACACGGCCCAGACUCCUACGGGAGGCAGCAGUGGGGAAUAUUGCGCAAUGGGCGAAAGCCUGACGCAGCGACGCCGCGUGGGUGAUGAAGGCCUUCGGGUCGUAAAGCCCUGUCUGGAGGGAAGAAUCCUCGGCGACCUAAUACGUCGUCGACCUGACGGUACCUCCGAAGGAAGCACCGGCUAACUCCGUGCCAGCCGCCGCGGUAAGAC